rnacentral:lncRNA from 1 species
UAAAACCGUGAACAUCGGUGAUGAAGUCCCAAACUCCAUGCUUUCUUGCUCGUAUCUUCGGUUUAAAUCGUCAUCGGCCACUUUGCCGGUGAUGAUGAAGGCUGACUUCGAAAACCCACAUAGCUUGAGGAUGUUGUCAAUGGCAGCGAAGAAGUAGGAAGUUGUUCUUUUGAACAUCCACAUCCUCUGUUCAUUCAACCAACCUCGGACUGUGCCUCCCAACCAUACAAAUUCCACAAGACUCUGAACGCGGUGGACAACGAUGACAUACAAGUAUGGAAUGCCCCAAGAACUUGAUAUCUAGCAAUUCAGAAAAAAAAAAAAAAGUUGUUAGUAGCUGAAAAGACCUGUAAUUUCGAACAUGACACUAUAAUGAAUCUUAAACGAAAACUGUAACUAUAUUAAUCGAUUCAACAAAGAAUAAGCAAAUAAAGUUAAGGAUACCAUACCUUGGGAAAUAAAGAGAUGCCUUUAAGCAAGCAAAAAGAAGGCACAAAAACAUAGUAAAGAGUAGCAAAGCAGUUUGGAACCCAAAAAAGGUAAAUGCAGUAAGAAAGCUGAAGUUUGAGAGGCAUGUUUUGACAACCAUACACGAAAGGACAAUGCUUGGAUAGAAAUAUUUGAAAAUCGCCUUCGGCCCAUCUCUUGUGUUGUACUAAAGUAUCCAACAAUGUUGUGGGAACCAUUCCUAAGAAGGCUUCCCUUUGAGGAGUCAAAUAUACCGACCGCCAACCUCUACUUUGUAUGCAUAUUCCUGUUAGUAUAUCUUCCACUACACACCCAUAUUUCACUCCCAUCUGCAAUCAGCCUAAUAUGUUAGUAUAAAAUUUAUCAUGAAUAAGAUACGAGAAAAAUAAUUAAAACAUGAUACCAAAUACAACACGAGAAAAGAAAGGACCUCUUUUCCCCAAGGUGUAUUCUCCUCGUAGGUACAACUUGCAAGAGCUUUGCAGUUUUCUUCAAUGGAACUUGCUUUUUCUAUGAUCUUUGUAUCAUAUUUCAUUGCCUUCGAUUCAACUAUAAGUUCCUUGCUAUACUUCAUUCCACAAAGACUUUCUCUUCUAUGAACACAACCGGUUCCAAUAUAGCAAGGCCCUCCAUUCCCAUCAAAUCCUGCAAGCUCAAGCUUUGGUAUAUGGAUACAUUCAAAACAUCAUCAGUUCUAUUCAACUUUAAUCAUGAUAUUGAAAAUUUAAUUUAGAACCUUGAUUCCUAUAAUCACAUUUAAUUAAAAAGUUGUAUUUAGAAGGUCUAAAAUUCGAGAUUCGAAUAUUAACAUAUGUAAUCUUUUUCUAAAUUCUGAACCAUAAGCUAUUUCCUUCCAAAACGAAUAAUAUUAACUUUGAAGAAUUUGAGGCAUUUAAUAAAUUCGAGUUCAAAUUUUAUCAUUUGCAAAGAUAUAAAAUUUUUAAAAUUUUACUUUAGUAUUUAACGCUCACCUUCAUUACGACUCUCAAGGAUCCAUAAAUUUCAUUUUUAGUGAGGUUACCAAAAGUCUGUGGAUAUUGGACAUAAGCAAUUUCAUGUCCAUUGUCUUCAUCAAGAAAGAAGCAAAGUGCAUCCCUAAUUGCCUUGGAAUUAUUUGAAUGCAUGUCACAAUCCACGUUUAAAAUAAAUGGGGCAUUACUUAUUCUUGAAGAUAUCCUUAUCUGUUUAUUCAUAAAUUCAAGAAUUAGAAAAUAAUCAUUUAAUUUAACAAAAUAUUUAUAUAUAUAUAUUAUUUAGACUUAAGGUGAACCUUGAUUAUAGAUAUAUUUGUUCAUUUGAAUUGAGCUUGGAAAAGAAAAUAUGACCACAGACCAGCACAACCUUAUAGUCAAAGGAAAGCAUAAAAAUUCUGAGUAGCCGCAUAUUAUAGAAUGGUUACCAAUGCAUUCAAGGCUCCAGCUUUGAAAUUAUGGUGGAUUUGAGGUCUCUUUUCACGUGCUAAAUAUACAAGGGUUGGCAAAGCUUUUCCUUCAAUGUCAAUGGCGUUAGGGUCUCUUCCAUCAAUCAAGAUCUACAAUUAAGUUUUUAAAUGCAGAAUUAGAAGCAAUUAUAAGGUAGGAGUGAAAUGUAGUAGUUAUAAAGUUUAAGAUCCAAAAGAAUAAAAAAAAUAUUGUAGCAAAUUACUUGAAGAAUGGAUGGAUGAUCAUGACGACUAACAACAAAGUCCCAUUCAUCAAAUCCCUUGUGUUCUUUGCGUAUGUCCGCUGGAACCUUGCCCAAUCUUGUCAUGCUUUCAAUUCGAAUCCUCAUGUCUUCAUAUGUUUUCUAUAAUUAAUGCCAAAACAAAAAAUAAUCCAUUCAAACAUUUACAUCACAAAACAUAAUUCAUUCAAUAGUUUUACAAUUUCUACUAUCAUUAAAGCCAUGUUUGAAAUUAGUGUAGCGAAUUAAAUUGAAGAAAUUAUAAAAAUAACUUUACAUAUUUUAAAUAACCUAUAUAUAUAUAUAUAUUAUGAGUUUAAUUUUUUCUUUUUUCUUCUACUUUAAUAUUAUUAUACAAAUUUUAUUACCUCAAUCAAUUAUACAUUUCUAUCAAUAAAACUUUUGCAAAUAUAAAAAUUUAAACCCAUGUCAUUAGAAUAUAAAAUAUUUUCAAAUUUAUCAUUGCAUCUAAAGGUUUUUUUUUUCAUUAAUAAAGCUUUUUGUGUUUUAUUUUAUACAUUUUAAUAUCAACUAUAGAUUCUUACUUUUUUUUAAAAAAAUUAGAAAGCAAUUUACUUUAAAAUUUCAUAUAUUUUCUCGCUUUUCAACCACCAAAUAAUUCAUUUCUUUCCUAUUUUUAAUAUAUAUCUAUAUAUAUAUAUAUAUUUUUUUUUUUUUACUUUUUCACUUUUUUAAUAUUUUUUAUUACUUUUCACUAAGACCGUGAGUGGAUAAAUUUCUUAUUAAUAAUACCAUUGAUUAAGUAAUUAAAUUGCAUUUAAUAUUUUUAAUCACAUGUAUUGAUUUAUAUAAUUUUAUUUUUACUCAUAAUUUAAAUUAUUAUUUUUAUUUUGUAUAUAUUACUUAUUUGUUGUUAUUAUUAUUAAUUUUAAAAUAUUAAAUGUUAUUUUCAAAUGAAUAUAUGCGUUCUACAUAUAUAAUUUCUAAACACAUAUACAUAUGAUAGAAUUAUUAAUUUAAAUUACAAAUUAUUAAUUUAAAUUACACAUUUGUAAAAGAAAUAUUUAAAAAAUGCAACAAGGCAACCAUACAUAUGUGACAAUAUCCAACAACAAAAAAUUAUUUUUUCAUUUGCGAUUUAAAUUUUUGGUUGAUUCUUGAUUUUUUUUUUAAUUUAAAAUUCGUUGCAUCUGAAUCUUGUUUUUGCUUAAUGGUGGAUUUGGACCUAAUUUGUGGAGGUUAGGUUAGACCAAAUGUGGUGGUGGAAGUUUUGGACGAGGAAUUUCUUGUGUUGAAUGCUAGGCCUAGUCGUUUUUCAAUGAUGAUGCUUUGGAAGGGAGUGGGGUUGAUACAUAGUAAAGGAAUAAAAUUACAAAUUAACCAUAAAGUUAUAAUAAUGGAACUGAGACGUGUCAAUGGAGGAAGGUCCCUUAGAGUCUUUCUUUUUAUAGAUAAGGUAGAAAAAGAAUGCCUCUGAAGUGUAGAAUUUGAUACGAAACCGUCCAUUUCCUUGAGGUUAAAAUCAUUUUAUGUUGCUGUGGGGCAAACAUCAGUGGUAGAAUUAAAGGAAAUAAACGUGUUACCUUGAUGAUUAACCACUCAUUGGCCAUGAAUGCAUCAUCCACUGGUUCAGGAGUGGUCUGGAAAUAAGCCUCAGGAGAUGUGGGCUCUACUUUCAGCUUCCUGCAAAACGGAAGCCAUAGCUGGGCAAACCCUGAAGCUUCUAAUAAAGCAUAAAAUGUCAAAUCGGAGCAACCAUCAUCAGAUAAAUAGACGCUUAGCUUAUGAGGUGGGUAGUCAUAAGCCAUGACCGAUAACACUGUGCUGACCACCAUCGUUGGUGGCUCUAAUCUUGGGUCUGCCGUGCACACAAAUAUGUCUACUCCUAGCAAUUCUUCUUCUUCGAACCUGUAAGAAACAAGCAAGCGUUAGGAACAAGAGAAAGGGAGUAUAUGGAGAGACAGAGUGAAGGAGAUGACGACCUGGAAGAGAGUCUAUCUUUGAAAGUGCAACGAAAGACAGGGUUCCAUUUAACGAUUACAGUGAUGAAGAAAUAAAAACUAAACCAAAGUUCAGCUACGAACAUUCCGACCCAAACCCAUCUCUCUGUUACUGGAAAAUAGCUCACUCUAUGGAAACAAAUGAAGCAGAUGCCUAUGAAGAUGGAAGCUGCGUAGGAGCGGAAGAAGACAAGUCCCCUAGCCGGCCUUGUUUCAAAAAGAGGAAGAUACCCAUUUUUACCCAUUCUCUCCUCCUCUCCGUCUUUCCACUCCUUUGACUCAAAUGAGUAGAAAGUUGAUUUUUCAUGUAUACAUAUAGACUUUAGAAAAAUCUUACAGGCCCCAAUGACCACAAUUUGGGCAAGGGUAGGUGACUUUCUAAACUUCUUUAAUUUUGAAAAGAGUUAACAUCCCUAAAUUAUGAUUUUUAUUUUAAUUUGACCCUUAAAUUUUAAAAUGUUUUAAUUAUAUCUAUUUUUAAAGUAUUCAUUUUUAUUUUUUAUUUUAAACUCUAUUACAUAAAAUUUGACAUAUAAUUCAACAAUUAAAUUAAUGAUUUAAAUAAUCGAAAAACAUAAUUAAUAUAUUAUCAAUAGUUUAAAUGUAAUUAAAAUAUUUUUAAAUUUGAAAGUGGAUUUAGAAUAAAAAUUAUAAUUUAAAGAUAUAUAGUGUAAUUAACUUUGAAUAUAUAAAUCCAAAAAAUUCUCAAAUUCUAAUAAAAAUAAUACAAUAUAUAUGGCUUGAUCUUGCUUGCUUCCAUUAUUACAAUUCUGAAUUCAUAAUUGUUGACUUUUUUAAAAUAUUCAAUGUGAUACUUGAACUAUUAAUAUGUAUUUUGUUAUUGUAUCUGAUGUUAGCAUUGGUAGUAAAUUAUUGAACCAACUAAUAAAAAUUUGAUACAAAAUUUUUCUUUUCAAAUCAUCAAGCACACAUGGAUAAUAUAAUAUUAUGUGAAAAAUUAAAUAAAAUAAAAAAAAUUAAUUUAAUUUACAAAUAAAUAACUAAACGCCAAACUUAUGUGAAGGAUAAUAAAAAAAAUUAAAAAUAUUAUUUCAAAUGGAUAACCCUUUAAAGAAUAUUGCUAUUUGCUUAAAUGAAAAAUAUGUUAUUUUUGCUUAUAUAAGUUUACUAUUUUUUUUUGUUUAAAUGGAAAAUAUGACAUUUUGUUGGUUAUGUAAGUUUAGUAUUUACUAUAUUUUUAGUUAUUUAUUUUUUUAAUUUAGUUCAUUUUUUUUUGCUUUAUUUAAUUUUUCACAUAAUGUUAUAUUAUCCAUGAGAUUUGAUGGUUUAGAGAAAAAUAAUAUACAUGUCGAAUAUUCAUUGAUUGGUUUAAAUAUUCACAAACAAUAUUAACAUAAAGUAUUAUAAUAAAACACGCAUUGAUAAUUUAUGUAUCACAUUAGACAUUUUAUUAAAGUACAAAUAUCAAAUAUGGCCUUACCCAUAAAACUUAUAAUAAUAAAUUAUAUAUAAUUUUAAAGCUUCAUUUAUUACAUAUACAUUUUCUACUUUUAAAGAAUUCAAAUGUUUUUCUUUAGAAACAUAUUUUACGAUUUGUUUUAAAAAUAUUCUAACAAAUCGUAUCCUCUAAUAAUCAUUAAUUGAAUUGGUUUUCUAAUCUAUAUAUAUAUAUAUUUAAAUAUUAUGAUUUAAAAGAGAUAAGCAAAAUAUUUUGAUUUGCAUGGAGUUGUGGUUAAAACUUUUAAUCAGAUAACCGUUUAACUCAAGUUCAUAUAUAAAUUGUGAGUAAAAGGAAAUUUAAAUAUAUAAAUACUUUAUAUUAAAAAUAUUAAAUGUACUUCAAUUGAGAAUAUUGAAAUAAAACUUUGGUUGAAGAGGUAAAUAAAAAUUUUAUAAAUAUUCAUAAUACGAGUUCAUUAUCAACAUUUGUAACUUUUUUAUUGAUUUUUUUUAAAAUAUGAAAAAGAGACAAAAACAUCAUCGUAAUAAUAUAACUUAUUUAAAAUAUGUAAAAUUAUUUUAAUAACUUUCCUAACUGAAUUGAUGUCAAGUUCACUCGUGAUAUCAAUUUGCAUUUAAACGAUAAUAUUGAUAAUUUAUUUAAAUAGAACAUAAAAUAUACCACAAACUAAACAUCUUCCAUGUGUAUUUUAAUUUUAUGAUCAGUCCAAGUUUUCAAAUAGAAGUUUGAGGAGUUUAUAAGUUAUGAUGAAAAGAUAAGGAAAAUUACAUAUACAUGAGACUAAUUUUGACCUUUUUUCUUUAAAUACAAACCUAGUGUUACAGGCUUGGAGCUUUACGCUCUGAAAUUUCGAAUCCGAUCUUAAAUCUGCUGUGCGAGUCUCGGGCUCGGUCGACCACACGCUGACUGUGACACUAGUAAAUGGUUAAUGUGGAAGCCAAGAGAGCGAAAGCAACGGAUUGAAGUGUUACAGAUGCUGGCAUCUUACCGCUAUCUUUUCGGAAGAACAUCCCUUGGUAUAUCGGUAGGUUGAUGAAAACCAAAACGUAGCAAAGAAGUAUCUGAAAACCGAAUACGUCAAAAAUCUUCAUACGAGCAUCACCAAUGGCAACAUUGUUUGUUACUACCGCAAUGAGUCCGAGCAGAUUGAAAAGUGCGAGCGUAGCUAAAACCGUGAACAUUGGUGACCAAGUCCCGAACUCCAUGAUUUCUUGCUCAUAUCUCCGGUGUACAUCAUCGUCAGCCACUUUUCCGGUGAUGGCAAAGGCCGACUUCGAAAACCCAAAAAGUUUGAGCAUGUGGUCAAUGGCGGCAAAGAGGUAGGAAGUUGUUCUUUUGAACAUCCACAUCCUCUGUUCAUUCAACCAACCUCGGACUGUGCCCCC